AUCUCGGUGCGCUGCAACAGUUGGUUCACCAAGGUCGUCUGCUGUGCGAGGGUGCUCGUUAACUCUAUGACUUGUCGAGACAAGUGUUGUUCUCCAUUUGGGUUGGAAUAGCUUGGAAUGAAUGCGUCUUCUUGAGCAGUGAAAAUGUGGUAGACUCCAAGUGCGAGAUUUGAGUUGGGAAAUGCCAAAUCCGUAGAAAAAUGUGGUGAAAAUGCUCCUAGUUCGAUCGUCAAUCUGCAAAUUUGGAGCCGGGAUAGUUGAACUAAUCUUGGAUCAAUUUGGGCUACUUGGAAGGCCACGGGAGCAGAGUGGGCCACGGAAGCAAGUUGGGCCACGAGAGUGGGCUGCUCGGUUGGAGCAGGCUGG
rnacentral:lncRNA from 1 species